GCUAAUGGUAAUUAUAAAGAAGAACAAUGCGACAAUUAGUGUUUUAAAAAUAAAAAGGCCCGUUUACUUUGCCAGACUUAAUAAUGGCCGCUCUGGGAACUCUUGUAUGGAUCACUUGUGAGGAUUAUUUUUACUUGCCUUUACCCGGGAAGAAUUGGGUAGUUUGGAAUUAGGAGAAUUGAGUGAUCUCAGAGAUCAUGUUCUGCGAGAAAGCCAUUGAGCUGAUCCGGGAUUUGCUUCAGAUGGGCAGCUCCCUGCAUUUUAAUCAAUGAAGCAAAAACAAGGCUGGAGUGAUUUAAUACCAACAAUUAAGUUUCGUCACUGUUGCUUCCUAAGAAAUCGUCGCUGCAUUGCUGCUGAUCUGUCCGUUGUUUAAGAGACUGGUGAAUUUGAAAUUGACGAUGGCACAACAAUUCUAUCAAAGCAUUUUUUGCCACAAUGGAAAUGCGAGAAACUGAUCCGACAAAAGGUUCUAGAGCACAUACUGUCUUAAUCUGUAGGAGCAUUGAUCUAAUUGAUCCGUGCUUUCUUUCCCCUGGGUUUCGUGAAAUGGAUUUGGAUUCCCAGCACCAACUCUGUAUGCCGUGCUUCUAAUAAUUGUAAAUACUUCAACCCUUAAAAAUAUACACUUUCAAAAUAUUUUUAUAUCCAUUUAUUUAAAAAAAAUUGUAUGAAAUAACUGGGUGUUAAUUUGUUGGUAACCUGAGAUUUAUGAGAGUAGGCUCACUGGAUGCAAACUCCAAUAAAGACUCGGCUCACUAGAGGCUACAGUUGAAAGGAAGUUAAUUUCUGUGUAUAGUGUGUGGCGUGGACCAAACUAGACAUUUUAGGUCUCAACUGUAAAGUUCAAAACUGUUGACAGACCAAAAAAAAAAGGAGUUUAAUCACUUCUUGAAUCUCUGCAGUUUGGCCAUUGACACCCAGGGGCAUAUUUGAUGAAAGGUGAGAAACGCUUGUCGCUUUUUAAUCAAAACCACCAAACGUUUAUUUUUGGGCUCAAGUAAGAGGUUGACAGGCAGCUUCGAUGGUUCACCUUUCAGUUUACUUUUAGCAUGUUAUAGAACGGCUAAUUCUAAGCAAGUGUUCAGUUGGUCUUUUUUUUCUUUUUUAUAGUUUUAAACGGUUUGCAUUC